rnacentral:rRNA from 1 species
UACGGAAGGCAGCAGUGGGGAAUAUUGCACAAUGGGCGCAAGCCUGAUGCAGCCAUGCCGCGUGUAUGAAGAAGGCCUUCGGGUUGUAAAGUACUUUCAGUCGUGAGGAAGGUGUUAAGGUUAAUAACCUUAGCAAUUGACGUUAGCGACAGAAGAAGCACCGGCUAACUCCGUGCCAGCAGCCGCGGUAAUACGGAGGGUGCGAGCGUUAAUCGGAAUUACUGGGCGUAAAGGGCACGCAGGCGGUUAAUUAAGUUGGAUGUGAAAUCCCCGGGCUUAACCUGGGAAUGGCAUUCAAGACUGGUUAGCUAGAGUCUUGUAGAGGGGGUAGAAUUCCAUGUGUAGCGGUGAAAUGCGUAGAGAUGUGGAGGAAUACCGGUGGCGAAGGCGGCCCCGUGGACAAAGACUGACGCUCAUGUGCGAAAGCGUGGGGAGCAAACAGGGAUUAGGUACC